UACGUAGGGUGCAAGCGUUAAUCGGAAUUACUGGGCGUAAAGCGUGCGCAGGCGGCUUUGCAAGACAGAUGUGAAAUCCCCGGGCUUAACCUGGGAACUGCAUUUGUGACUGCAUGGCUAGAGUGCGGCAGAGGGGGAUGGAAUUCCGCGUGUAGCAGUGAAAUGCGUAGAUAUGCGGAGGAACACCGAUGGCGAAGGCAAUCCCCUGGCCCUGCACUGACGCUCAUGCACGAAAGCGCGGGGAGCAAACAGG
rnacentral:rRNA from 1 species